AACGAACGCUGGCGGCAUGCCUAACACAUGCAAGUCGAACGAGACCUUCGGGUCUAGUGGCGCACGGGUGCGUAACGCGUGGGAACCUGCCCUUAGGUUCGGAAUAACUCCCCGAAAGGGGUGCUAAUACCGGUUAAUGUCUUCGGACCAAAGAUUUAUCGCCUUUGGAUGGGCCCGCGUUGGAUUAGCUAGUUGGUAGGGUAAAAGCCUACCAAGGCGACGAUCCAUAGCUGGUCUGAGAGGAUGAUCAGCCACACUGGGGCUGAGACACGGCCCAGACUCCUACGGGAGGCAGCAGUAGGGAAUAUUGGACAAUGGGCGAAAGCCUGAUCCAGCAAUGCCGCGUGAGUGAUGAAGGCCUUAGGGUUGUAAAGCUCUUUUACCCGGGAUGAUAAUGACAGUACCGGGAGAAUAAGCUCCGGCUAACUCCGUG
rnacentral:rRNA from 1 species